AGUGAGGAAUAUUGGUCAAUGGGCGCAAGCCUGAACCAGCCAUGCCGCGUGCAGGAUGAAGCAUCUAUGGUGUGUAAACUGCUUUUGUACGGGAAGAAACACCGAUUCGUGAAUCGGCUUGACGGUACCGUAAGAAUAAGGAUCGGCUAACUCCGUGCCAGCAGCCGCGGUAAUACGGAGGAUCCAAGCGUUAUCCGGAAUCAUUGGGUUUAAAGGGUCCGUAGGCGGUUUUAUAAGUCAGUGGUGAAAUCUCUCCGCUCAACGGGGAAACGGCCAUUGAUACUGUAGAACUUGAAUUAUUGUGAAGUAACUAGAAUAUGUAGUGUAGCGGUGAAAUGCUUAGAGAUUACAUGGAAUACCGAUUGCGAAGGCAGGUUACUAACAAUGGAUUGACGCUGAUGGACGAAAGCGUGGGGAGCGAA
rnacentral:rRNA from 1 species